rnacentral:rRNA from 1 species
CACUUGCUAUUCGCCCGGGUACUACGAGCAUUAGCUUAAAACCCAAAGGACUUGGCGGUGCUUAAGACCCCCCUAGAGGAGCCUGUUCUAGAACCGAUAACCCCCGUUAAACCUCACCCUCUCUUGUUCAUCCCGUCUAUAUACCGCCGUCGUCAGCUUACCCUAUGAAGGAUUAAUAGUAAGCAAGAUUAGCAAAACUCAAAACGUCAGGUCGAGGUGUAGCGAAUGAGGGGGGAAGAAAUGGGCUACAUUCCUUAAAACGAAAAACGCAAUGAAAUGUGCAUUGGAAGGAGGAUUUAGCAGUAAGCAGAAAACAGAGAG